rnacentral:sRNA from 1 species
GACAGAAAAUUUUCCUACCUCAUUAUUAAAUCAUUCACUAGGUUAGGUAGGGGUUAAUCUGUAAGCUAUUCCACGUACAUGCAUCAUAUGGGUUCUCACAAUUUAUCAUACAUUAAUCUCUGUUAUAAACUUCUCACCAAUCUGAGCUACAUUGCCACAUGUAAAUGUAGAAGGGAAAAUUGAUCACCAUAAAUUUAUUAUUGGAUAUUCAUUUAAAUUAUAAGCUGUUCAACGAGGGUUUUUUUUUUCCAAAGAAAAUGAAGGAAACUGACACCUUUAUUUGGAAACCAAAUGGGACUACUUUGUUUUCAUUAAAUCUACCUGCAUUGCAUUAAUUAUUUAUAAUUUCUACUGCAACUUCUCAAUGGGAAGUGAAUGGUUGUCUCACUAUAUUCUUUAUUUUUAUGAUAACUGAUAGUUUAUCAGAUAUUUCUUCAGACUAUUUGGGGACCUUCCAUGUCCCCUCAAGUCAUCUGUGUAACAUUCCUAUUAGUUAUUCCGUCCUUUUCAUGUUUGUUUUUCCUUCUCUUCAUAUCAUACUUCCUAUACAGACCAUAUCUCGAUACAGGAAGACUAAUCGGUUUUUAAUUAUUUUUUCUCAUUGGUUUAAGCAAAAUUUGUCUAUUUUCAAUUUACUGUUAUGUUGGGGUUGACAUUUGCAAUUACCAAUAUUUGUUAUCAAUGUUUUCUGAAUAAAUGUGAAAUACU